UACGUAGGGUGCGAGCGUUGUCCGGAAUUAUUGGGCGUAAAGAGCUCGUAGGCGGUCUGUCGCGUCGAUCGUGAAAACUUGGGGCUUAACCCUGAGCUUGCGGUCGAUACGGGCAUGACUGGAGUUCGGCAGGGGAGACUGGAAUUCCUGGUGUAGCGGUGAAAUGCGCAGAUAUCGGGAGGAACACCAGUAGCGAAGGCGGCACUCUGGGCCGGUACUGACGCUGAGGAGCGAAAGCGUGGGGAGCGAACAGG
rnacentral:rRNA from 1 species